rnacentral:rRNA from 1 species
UAAUACGGAGGGUGCGAGCGUUGUCCGGAAUCACUGGGCGUAAAGGGCGCGUAGGCGGCUAGGCAAGGGGGCGGUGAAAGCCCGGGGCUCAACCCCGGGUCAGCCGAACCGACUGCCUGGCUAGAGCAUGCUAGGGGUUGGUGGAAUUCCGGGUGUAGCGGUGGAAUGCGUAGAGAUCCGGAAGAACACCGGUGGCGAAGGCGGCCAACUGGGGCAUGUCUGACGCUGAUGCGCGACAGCGUGGGGAGCAAACAGGAUUAGAUACCCUGGUAGUCCACGCCGUAAACGAUGGGCACUAGGUGCCCGGGGGAGCGACCCCUCGGGUGCCGUCGCUAACGCAUUAAGUGCCCCGCCUGGGGAGUACGGCCGCAAGGCUG